rnacentral:rRNA from 1 species
AUACAGAGGGUGCUAGCGUUAAUCGGAAUUACUGGGCGUAAAGGGUACGUAGGUGGAUCAUCAAGUUGACUGUGAAAUUUCUGGGCUUAACCUAGACAGGUCAGUCAAUACUGGUAAUCUAGAGUGCAGUAGAGGGUAGUGGAAUUUCCGGUGUAGCGGUGAAAUGCGUAGAUAUCGGAAGGAACACCAGUGGCGAAGGCGACUUCCUGGGCCAAUACUGACGCUGAGGUGCGAAAGCGUGGGGAGCAAACAGGAUUAGAAACCCCAGUAGUCC